rnacentral:rRNA from 1 species
AGAGUUUGAUCAUGGCUCAGAUUGAACGCUGGCGGCAUGCCUUACACAUGCAAGUCGAACGGCAGCGCGGGAGCAAUCCUGGCGGCGAGUGGCGAACGGGUGAGUAAUAUAUCGGAACGUGCCCUGUAGCGGGGGAUAACCUAUCGAAAGAUGGACUAAUACCGCAUACGCUCUACGGAGGAAAGCGGGGGUCGCAAGACCUCGCACUAUAGGAGCGGCCGAUAUCGGAUUAGCUAGUUGGCGGGGUAAAAGCCCACCAAGGCGACGAUCCGUAGCUGGUCUGAGAGGAUGAUCAGCCACACUGGAACUGAGACACGGUCCAGACUCCUACGGGAGGCAGCAGUGGGGAAUUUUGGACAAUGGGCGCAAGCCUGAUCCAGCCAUGCCGCGUGAGUGAAGAAGGCCUUCGGGUUGUAAAGCUCUUUCGGCAGGAACGAAAUGGUUCGUGCUAAUACCACGGACUGAUGACGGUAACUGAAGAAGAAGCACCGGCUAACUACGUGCCAGCAGCCGCGGUAAUACGUAGGGUGCAGGCGUUAAUCGGAAUUACUGGGCGUAAAGCGUGCGCAGGCGGUUUCUUAAGUCAGAUGUGAAAGCCCCGGGCUUAACCUGGGAACUGCGUUUGAAACUGGGAGACUUGAGUGUGGCAGAGGGGGGUGGAAUUCCACGUGUAGCAGUGAAAUGCGUAGAUAUGUGGAGGAACACCGAUGGCGAAGGCAGCCCCCUGGGUUAACACUGACGCUCAUGCACGAAAGCGUGGGGAGCAAACAGGAUUAGAUACCCUAGUAGUCC